rnacentral:rRNA from 1 species
CCUACGGGUGGCAGCAGUGAGGAAUAUUGGUCAAUGGGCGCGAGCCUGAACCAGCCAAGUAGCGUGAAGGAUGACUGCCCUACGGGUUGUAAACUUCUUUUAUAAAGGAAUAAAACGAGGCACGUGUGCCUUUUUGCAUGUACUUUAUGAAUAAGGAUCGGCUAACUCCGUGCCAGCAGCCGCGGUAAUACGGAGGAUCCGAGCGUUAUCCGGAUUUAUUGGGUUUAAGGGGUGCGCAGGGGGAGACCCACGUCAGCGGUAAAACCGCGGGGCUCAACCCCGCUCCGCCGUUGAAACUGUGUCCCUUGAGUGCGCGAGGGGUAGGUGGAAUGCGUGGUGUAGCGGUGAAAUGCAUAGAUAUCACGAAGAACUCCGAUCGCGAAGGCAGCCUACCGGCGCGCAACUGACGCUCAUGCACGAAAGCGUGGGUAUCGAACAGGAUUAGAUACCCCUGUAGUC